UAGCUUUCUGUCCGAAGCUCCAAAUUCUUGGCCAAACAGAACAGCGAACUUCCCGAUGGUCACCAGCUCCAGUUCAAGGUCGAGAAGCACUCAGUCAAUGACGUCCCCGACGCCAAGAUUUCAUAAGUUUUGUAAGCAUUCAUCUUUUACUAAUUGUCUAAGAGCUUCCAUGGGAUCUGCCCUAUGUUGUUACUUUGCGAUUACCUCCGUUGGGGUUGAAAAAACCACAAACGCAAUCAAUGCUUAUAAAGAUGACUGUUAGAUUAUCAAAGGACUCUGGAAUGGUAGAAAACGCAAAAGAAGUUGCAAUUUAAUCCUACAUUGACAAAUUUCUCUGAUGGCCACUGACUAAAGCUUGACAUUCAGAUUCGAUGGCUAGAUUGGCAACAAAUUUAUUGGGAAAUGCAUCUUCAAAGGUAUGCCUCUAGAGCAAAUUUAAAGGAGUUAGAACUUCAACAUUGCUUGGAGGAAAUUGUCAUAAGUUCAGUGGCCAAAGCUUGAUGUUGGCAUGACAACAAAUUUACUUGCAAAUGCAUAUUCAAAAGCAUAGAUGGACCGGUCGAUAUGAAGCGCAUCUGUGGGACAAUAGUUGCAACAAAGAAGGGUAGAGCAGGAAGGGAAGGCAAGCUGGGGAAUCAAAAUCAAAUGAUGAAUCUUUAGUUUACUUGGGAAAAGCAGUGGAUUCUCAAGAGGGGCUUCAAUGUACAGAAGAAUUACAAGACGUCAUCAAUAUGGAAGAUGGCUAGCCAGGAUUGUAAAGGUUACUGUAAAUAAGGAUCUCUUGGGACAUUUAAGACAAACGAGCAAAAACUUGAUGACAUCCUAUAAAAUUGCCAGAAAAAAGGUCAUUUCCAACUCAUGCAAAACCAAACUUCUUUCCCAUUGAAAAACACUAGGGUACCUCCUUUAAACUACUUUUCCCAUUCUUCAUAUCGGUCAGAAGAUCUCUUUUUGCCAGUUUUGAACAAAGUGAUGUAGAAGAUAUGU